CCCCUAGCAGUAUAGGCCUUCCCGGGACACCUUCUGGUGUUUGUGGGAUCUACUGUGUUGUGUGGCUACCCCCACUGGAAUCCUUUUGUGCUUUUGAAUGUCGCUGGUGAAAAGCUAAAACCUCAUUUCUGUUGCUUGGACCUGUCACUGCUGUUACCAACCAUCUGGGAGACAGACCUGCUAUGGACAAGUGCCAGGCAUUCUGCCCUUUGCUGCUAAGUGCCACUUUCAGGCAAAAAAAAAACCCCAAAAUGCAUUCUGAAUGAUAAGA